rnacentral:rRNA from 1 species
CCUACGGGAGGCAGCAGUGGGGAAUAUUGCACAAUGGGGGAAACCCUGAUGCAGCGACGCCGCGUGAGUGAAGAAGUAUUUCGGUAUGUAAAGCUCUAUCAGCAGGGAAGAAAAUGACGGUACCUGAUUAAGAAGCCACGGCUAACUACGUGCCAGCGGCCGCGGUAAUACGUAGGGGGCAAGCGUUAUCCGGAUUUACUGGGUGUAAAGGGAGCGUAGACGGCAGCACAAGUCUGGAGUGAAAUGCCGGGGCUUAACCCCGGAACUGCUUUGGAAACUGUGCAGCUAGAGUGCAGGAGAGGUAAGUGGAAAUCCUAGUGUAGCGGGGGAAUGCGUAGAUAUUAGGAGGAACACCAGUGGCGAAGGCGGCUUACUGGACUGUAACUGACGUUGAGGCUCGAAAGCGUGGGGAGCAAACAGGAUUAGAUACCCGAGGAGGC